ACAUAUAUUUAAUCUUUAUCUUUAUCUUCUUUUCUAAAUAAAGAUAGACAUAUAUUUAAGUCUCGCUUAAAGCCAAAAUAACAAUAUUUAUUAGCAAUUUAACUUAAAUCUCAGGAUGUAAAAUCCGGAAUUAUACUGUUAAUUAAUCAGAUUGCCAUAUCAGACUUUAAUAUUGUUCGAUUGAAAGGUCUAUUCGUAUAUAGAAAGUUGUUACGUGUGUAUUUUAACAUAGCUAUUAUUUUUCUAAUGAAGAUAAAUAUUUCUUUCCUUUUUUUUUCACGUGUAUGUGUAACUGCAUCUAUCGAAAGAAUCAACUUUUUCCGAAGUAUUCUCUCGGCUUCGAUCUGAAACAGUCGUAGUGAAUAAAUAAAUAUUGCGCUCGCAUGAAUUCACACGACUGCGAGAAUUCCAAUAUCUCCGAUCGACUUCUAUGAUGAUGUAACGUGACAAUUUUACAAUGUGCAUGCGACGGUAGCGGCAGUCGUAACCAUCGCUCCUGCGCGAGUUACAUCACGUAAUAAAUUUUAUCCGUAUCAGCGGCAGAAUAGAUGUGCCACUUUCGGAGUGUGUAUCUCAUGUAAAUGUAUGUCGUCUCAUCGCUUCUGUUUUGAGAAGAAACGCGUAUCGCAUGAAACAAUCCCUUUUCGAAGAGCGCAAUGAUAGACGUCGUCUCCCUCUCAUUUCUCCAACCUUCUGCGAGUGAAAAAUAAAAGGAACAUACACACGGUAAAUAUUGUAAAAAUUCGAAAUGUUACAUGGGUGUUCUCUGGUGAAAACCGAUUUCCACGCUCGACGAAAAAUUACAACGAUAUCUCCCUCGAUGUUGGUUUCUUGCCGCAUUUUGCAAACCAACGACCGACGUUCGCUCGACAUUAUUAAAUUCACUUUUCGAGAAGAUAACCACUUGAGAGGAUAAAUCGCAGACGUUCGGUCGUCAUCCGUGGUCUCAUAGGAAAUCAUGACGCCGGCGGCUAAAAAGAUGUUGCGGACAAAUACAAAAUAAUGCGAGCCGUAAAAAUUUACGCGCGCUUUGGGAAUUUCAGUAGAAAAGCAAGAUUGAACAAUAUCGAGUCGUCGAUAUCAACUGGAUAAAAAUGCGUUUGAUGUAUAAUUCCAAAAUAAAAAAAAAA